AUCUGGGAGCUCUGGGCCACAUGGAAAACCCAACUCCCUCCCUGUCCCCGUAUGCGGGCAGAGAGCCCAGGCCACCCAUGCACUUCUCUCCCCUCUCCUGUUCCGCGGGCCCUGGCUGCCCUGGGAAGCUCCACAUUCAGACAGGCCUGGUGCAGACGCCGGUGUCCUGGCAGCACCUAAAUCAUUAGUGCCGCGGAGAUUAGGAUACUAAUCUCCUUGUUGGGUGGAGCGGUGCCAGCCACCAGCCUGCGGAUCAUGCUGCUCUUUUGCAGGGGCCGUUCCUCGGGGCAUGACGCUGGCUCCUGCACAGAUCCUGCUCCUCUGUGGCCUUCCUGGGCUGCCCUCCCCUCCUCCGGGACUGCUCUGGACUGACAUUGCUCAGGCUGGAGUGCAAUGGUGUGAUCUCGGCUCACUGCAACCUCCACCUCCCAGGUUCAAGCUAUUCUCCUGCCUCAGCCUCCUGAGUAGCUGGGAUUACAGAUCCUGGUGGCUGUGGUCGGUAAUUCCAGCUUCGUGCUGGCUACAGGUGGAUGAUGCCCACCUGGCUGCCGAUGACC
rnacentral:lncRNA from 1 species